UGAUCUCUGCUGCUGUGCAACUGGCCAGCUAUCAUGUGUUGUGCUGUCUACAUCAGACUCAUACUUGUAAACUAUUAUAUUACCUUUUCCCCUCCACUUAUACAGAUACAAUCAUCAUUUAGGAGAUUGUUGUCACUUCAUCAAUGAUAUGGAUGACAACCAUUUGAGAUUUCCCAUGUUCUUCGUCUUAACACCUUUCCCUUCGCUCUUUUAUUCUUGAAUUUUGAGUGAGUAUUCAGAUUAUUCAAUGUUAGGCAUUGGUGAAAAUGUUCAUUUUUAGGCCUUUUUCUUCUUUUUUUUCCAGAGCUGCUCCAUGACUGCACAUAGGGGGUAAAAGGUGAAAAGCUUCAGGUGCACAUGCUUCUGCGCACAUAAAUUAACUUAUUGCCUUUAAUCUUACGGAUGAGUGCUGUCUUGAUCUUGUUUCACUCACAUGAAAGCCAUGUACAACAAAAUAACAAUCCAAGUGGGAUUUUGCCAAAAGAGCAAACAGAAUGAAAGCAUGGGGAGCCAAAAUAAAGCCAAAAUAAAGGUUGAAAGACAUCGAAAGUAACUAUCUGAUCCUCCAUUAGGCUGUGUAGGGUUGCACAAGAGACCACAUAAUGGAACACAUCAUGUUUCUCUUCCAUACUUCUUUAAAGAAGAUUCCUCCUCCAUGUCAUACCACUAUAUACUCUCGUCUGCACCUGUAAGAUUUUAGUGAGGCCCUGAAAAAAGUUGACAG